ACAGAGGUCCCAAGCGUUGUUCGGAUUCACUAGGCGUAAAGGGUGCGUAGGCGGCGGGGAAAGUUUGAUGUGAAAGCUCCGGGCUUAACCCGGAAAUUGCAUUGAAAACUCCCCCGCUAGAGGAUUGGAAGGGAGACUGGAAUUCUCGGUGUAGCAGUGAAAUGCGUAGAUAUCGAGAGGAACAUCAGUGGCGAAGGCGAGUCUCUGGACAAUUCCUGACGCUGAGGCACGAAAGCCAGGGUAGCAAACGGGAUUAGAUACCCCGGUAGUCCUGGCCCUAAACGGUGCGCAUUUGCUGUGAGAGGAUUCGACCCCUUUCGUGGCGAAGCUAACGCGAUAGAUGCGCCGCCUGGGGAGUACGGUCGCAAGAUUA
rnacentral:rRNA from 1 species